AAAACUUUCAACAACGGAUCUCUUGGUUCCGGCAUCGAUGAAGAACGCAGCGAAAUGCGAUAAUUAAUGUGAAUUGCAGAAUUCAGUGAAUCAUCGAGUCUUUGAACGCACAUUGCGCCCCCUGGUAUUCCGGGGGGCAUGCCUGUCCGAGCGUCAUU
rnacentral:rRNA from 6 species